AGGCAACCGUGAUGAUUUUAUACGACGUCUGUAUGUUAUUUCACUGUUACUGCGUGUAGACAGCAGUCCCUCUAAGCUGACGUUGCCU